UUUGGGAGAGCGUCACGUGGGGAGCUGGCGCCGCCACCUGGACCCUGAGAGCUGCCUCGUGGCCCUGCCACGUGGUCACCUGCGACGUGCCAGGCUGUGGAGCCAGGAGGGUGGCCUUGGUGGAGGAGGAAUGGACCCUUUGCCCAAGAGCUUGUGUUGGUUUGUUUCCCGUGGUGGGUGAAUUGAGGUGAAGAAAUGCUCAACUAGCGCAACUAGUCAAACUCAACAGAGGUGAAGUCUGCAAAGCGCGUUUCGAAACUGGCGUGGGCACACCCGUCCAGCGUCAGGGUUCAUGUGCUUGUGUUUUUGUUCUGUUUUGCAGUGUAGCGUUUCACGCCGUAGGUUAAGCUGUACACGGCAAUUGGGCUUUGCCCAGUGCUCGACUAACGGUGAAGGCUCUGAACUGUGAGACAUUACCAUUUGGCGAAGAGGCGUCUGUGGAUGUCCUUGAAAAUGCAAAGAAAGUUUUUGCAAAUACGCGUGUGGAAAACCAGUUGGCGUCUAAUUUCCAGCCUCAGCGUAUCAGGGCAGUCCUCCAACCAACUGAGCUGCCCAGCCAAGGUCAGUACCUGUGUUUUCAUCAGUACGAACAGAACUUAAAAUACAGACCCUUUGGGAUGAUACACAGCUUGCCAAAGCCAUCCAGUGGGACCACAGUAGGCUGAACAGCAGUUCCCGAAAGACAAGUCCACGUCCUAAUCUGUGGCAUUUGUGAAUGUGACCUUAUUUGGAAAAAGGCCCUUGAGACGAGAUGACCCUGGAUUGUGCGGAUGGCCACUAAGCACAGCGACUGCCAUCUUCAUCAGAGGGGGCGGAGGACAGCGUGGGGAGACGCGGAGAGAAUGGAGCUGCCGCCGCAAGGCCAGGAGGGUUCUCCCCUCGCCCUCGGAGGAAGCGCGGCCUUGCCGGAGUGUGGACUUCUGGCCUCCAGAACUGCAGGAGAAUAGAUUUCUCUUGUUCUGAGCUCUCCAGUUUGAUGCGCCAGGUCCUUCAAUAACAUUUCAUAACAUCGAUGAGAAGCUGUAGGAACUUAACUCUUGUGAAUGUCCACUUGCCUGUGGUGAAGCUGGUUUCGUGACGUGUUGUCACUUAAGGUUACAGCACCUGUGGACGGCGUUAGGUGGGGACUUACUGCAGUUCGUCACAUCACCCUCAGGAGGCCAGUACCGCCCCCGGAUAAAGUUAACCUGGUUAGGGAAAGCCACGUGGCUUCAUUGGGAAGAUGAAUUUAAGAAAGUAAUUCAGAAGAUGGUGUUGUUAGUAACAAAAACCAGGGAGUCUGGGUCUGAAGAGGGAAAUUUUGUGUGUAAAUUCAUCCCUGUCCAGGUGAAGAGAUGAGGGACCUGGGGGGCACCGCCAUUCUGGUCACUGCAGAAGUGGUCUGCUCAGUGGGGUGGGUGUCCUGCAUCGUUAGGCCACUUCCUGGUCCACGUCUGUUCCCUGGAGCUGUCCCUGCUUUGCUGCAUGUCACCAUUUACCAGCUAAGGCCCAAUGGGAGCACUCUGCAGUUGGAGGGUCCCGAGACCCCGAAAGGCACAGGGGAGUCGGAGACAGUUUUGCUUGGGGAGGCCAGUCUGUGCUAUUCGGGCCCCCACAUGACUGGGUGAAGCCCACCCAUGUUGUGGAGGACACUCUGCUUUCCUCAGAGUUGGCCAUUUUAACAUUGAUCUCAUCCAAAAGCACCCUGCGAGUGGACAUCUAAGUUAACCGUCACAGAGUCAAUCCCCUGGUCCCUCCCAGCACGUGGAGAAUGUGGCCCAGACUGUUCCACCUGGCAGAGGGGGCAGUUGUCCACUGGUGCCACAUUCCCCGGGCCAGGCUGUGUCCUGGGAUGUUGGCUCCCACUUCCUGGUUGUGGAUGUCUGAAUCCUGCAGAGUCCUGCAGGUGUCCCACACUGCAGCGUCAGCGUGACCCCGGGGCAGACGCCGGAGACACGGCAGCAGGGCCUCGGCUGUGCCUGCCGAGGGGUGGGGUGGCCGCAGCGGGCUGGGGUCAGGGUGGGAG